GGCCUACGGGGGGCAGCAGUGGGGAAUUUUGGACAAUGGGCGCAAGCCUGAUCCAGCUAUUCCGCGUGUGGGAUGACGGCCUUCGGGUUGUAAACCACUUUUGUAGAGAACGAAAAGUCUGUUGAUAAUACCGAUAGAUGAUGACGGUACUCUAAGAAUAAGCACCGGCUAACUACGUGCCAGCAGCCGCGGUAAUACGUAGGGUGCGAGCGUUAAUCGGAAUUACUGGGCGUAAAGGGUGUGCAGGCGGUUUUGCAAGGGGGAUGUGAAAACCCCGGGCUUAACCUGGGAAAGCCAUACAUGUC
rnacentral:rRNA from 1 species